rnacentral:lncRNA from 1 species
GGGGGCGCCACGACGGAGCGCUUGGGGCGCGCAGACUCCCGCGAGCCCGAGGGACCCCGGCGCUGGCUUCAGCGAGCAGAGUGACGGGCGCGGGGGAGCGGGCGGCCGGUCCCCCUCGCCUCCGGGCAGCGCUGCGUUUCUAGGGCCCCCCGUCGCACUCUUCCCCCCUCGAGGGCUCCGGGGAGGCCCUGCCGCCGCCGUCCCGCCCUCGUCCCCGAUCGCGCACACUUAAGGGCCGCGAGGCGCCUGCUGCCCCGUCAGCCUUGCGGCCUCCGCCCCGCGGCUCAGCAGUCGGCUCCGCAGGCCCGGCGGACGUGGCCGCCCCACACCCCACACGGCUCACCUGGUUGCCGCAGGCCAGGGCCCGCUCGGGGGGCUUUGCGAGCUGGUGGUCCUGAGGGCGUGCAGCAGAGCUGGAGGAGAAGAGACAGAGACAGAGAGAGAGAGAGGCAGAGGCACAGGCAGAGGGAGAAGCAGGCACCAUACAGAGAGCCCAACGUGGGACUCGAUCCAGGGCCCCCAGGAUCACGCCCCGGGCCUAAACCGCUGCACCACCGGAGCUGCCCAAGGUUAAAGUUGGUCACAAUAAAUUUGGGGAGACAAGCCUUGAGAAUCGAGAUCCAACAUGGAAAAUAAGAUGAAUUGACUUCCCAGGCUGCAUGAGUAUUCACAUUUCUCAUUUGCAAUGGGUUUGUUUCUUCUUAUGACCUCAAAAUGCAUUGAGGAACUUAGGGAAAACUAUAUGGCAUUCUUUAGGUUUUCCUUAUCAUCACUAAGUGAAAUAGCAUCAAAAUAUUUUUAGAAAAGUGGCAGCAUCUGGCAUACAGUAUCAAUAAUCUUAUCAUAGAUCCACUGAGGCUCCCACUUUACUGUCAAUUUCGUUCGCAUUCACAGUUUUAGCAUUACAGCUAACUAUUUUUUUAGUUGAUGAUCUGCAACCCUUUGCCUGAGCUAUAGGCAGGCACUUUGGUGGGGGGUUGGGGGGGGACGAGAAUCUUCAUAUCAUCAUUAACAAAUGCUUUACUAGUUUCUUUAUUUGGCCAUCAGGUGCUUCAGAAUAGGCCAGUUUGGGAGGAAUUUUCUUGGCAUAUUUUUAAUUUGUAUCUUGAUUUUUGGAGGUAAAUUUGUCAUUUUUAAUUGCUGCCGGAGGCAUUUUGUUGAAGGAUUCCUUUUUGGUUCCUUCAUCUUCGUCAUCUGCUUCAUCUUCUUUAUAAGUAUCAUUUCCUGAUAUUUCUGUAGCUUUAGAAGAAUUUGCAUCUAUUAUUUCUCAUCCUCUUCAUAAUUUCCUCAAUCCUAUUUUUUCUUUCCAGUCUUUCCAGCAGAUUCUCUCUCGAAGAUCUGAGCAGUGUAUCCCAUGACCACCUAAAUACCCCUUGCCCCUCACUGAUCCAUUUUCUCCACUUAUGUUCUGGGUGCAGCUCUUCUACAAUUCCUCUAGACUUCUCUUCCUGAGCUAAACCUUAGAAGAAGGAGAUUACUAGGACAGACUACACCCCCAUCACUCAGUUGGUCUCAGGGCUGCAACUGCUAUUCAUCCUCCUCCUCUAGUACCCAUUCCAAAUCCUACUGUUUUACCAGUAGUAGCUUACCUAGGUGUGACCCAAAUCCUUAUUCCUAAAGAGAAUGCGUGGUUAUUGGCAACUGUAUCCUUUUCAGGCAGGGAUUCCUGCACAUGUCCUCCCACAUCUCCAAUUACAUAUUAAGAGACUUCCAAGGGUUCCAAGGGAAUCACCUAGGAUCCACAUAUAUUUUUCCCCAUCCAUUAUAUGAAAGCAGCCCUUCCUCUUCCUGUUGAUCUAGGUCACUUGCCCCUACCAAGUUGGGGACUCCUCUUCUUGCCUGCUGGGGGCCAGACACAAAAAGUCCAAAGUGCGCAAACAGUAGCCAUAGUGUAUAGUUCAGUGGGACUCUAAUUGUGUUCCUUGACAAAAAUGCACUUCCUUUGGGGACCAGGAAUCCUAAACUUGCAAAGCCCAGAGUUGUGAGAACAGGAAGCACAAUGACUCGUUGAGAUAUUAAGUGGGGCCACUUCUGCUCCCCCCACUUUGUUCCUGGACCCACAUAUUCUUCCUGUUAGGGGCAAUGCCAAUCAGAUGUCUCCGAUUUAGUGGACAUACUGCAUCCUGAAGGAUGAUAUGCAAUCCUUACAGAAUAUUGCCUCUAAACUGACACUUCAGCUGUGCUUUCAGUAGGUUGUCUAGCGCUCUUAACAGGCUGGCUGCUUCUGGGUAGUGCAGUGGGUGAUAAAACCAGUAGAUGCAUUGGUCACAAGCUUUACACCCACAUCACCUUUACUGUGCAGUAGUUCCGCUGUUUGGAUGUACUGUUGAGUUAAAUCCCAUGCCAGCGGAUAGGGCCUUCUGUAAGCUCCUAGAUAGUAGUAUAGGCUGAGGCUCUGCAGGCAAAAUAGGCAAAUCCAUACCCAGAAUAGGUAUCUAUCCAUGUUAGGAUGAAGUAUUGGUCACUACAGAACGGAAGGGCCUCAGUGUUGUUGACUUGCCACCAAAUGGCUCGUUUAUCUCAAGUAAAAUGCCUUAUCAGGGACUCAGUGUUAGUCUCUGUUGCUAGCAAGUUAGACCUCCAGAGAUAGAAGCAAUUAGAUUGGUCUUGGAAGGGGAAUUCACGCUGUUGGGCUCAUGUGUAGCCUCUAUCUCUGCAAAUGUGGCCAUUCCAUUCAGGUGCGCAUUGUGCCAGUUUGGGGGAGGCCAUGACAAAGCUUGGCUAACAUCAACUGGAGAAUCUUUUUAUCUACUUGAUUGUUUCAUACCCUUUCCAAUGUUGGAAUAAACGUGAUACAAACAUCUUCACCUUUUGUGACCACUCUAUUAUGUCUGUCCACAUGCCUCUACUCCAGACUUCCAUGUCUCCAAUCUUCCAGGCUUUUCCUUUAAAACCCUGACCAGCUGGCCAGGCCAUGGCCACUGCCCAGUCAACUAUAUAAAUUCCCAUCAGGGGUACUUAUUCUUUCAUACAAGAAAGUCUUUCAUGACCAACUAUACUGCUUGAAGCUCUGCCCACUAGGAAGAUUUUCCCUCUCUAUUGUCUUUUAGGGACACCACUGAAUAUGGCUGUAAUGUGCUGCCAUCCACUUUAUAGUUUCCACCCAUACACCAAGCCAACCCAUUCAUAACCAAGCUUGAGCUUUUUUUCUCCUCCCUUACCUGGCCAGACAGCCAGAGGAAGGGGUGCUAGUGGGUCAUAUGGGGGUGGGGCUACUAGCUUAUGCGGUUAACUCAUGCCUUGGGAUUUUAUUUUGAAUGCAUCAUUUCCAUAUUACGAUGAACUGCUGCUAGGCCCAUCAACUUUAUGACUAGGAAAGUCUCACAGAAUUCAGCUCAUGAUGGCAGUUCUAGACACAUAGUAACUUGGUGCCUCAUGGUCAAGCUUUCUGCCUCUAAUGGGGCCCAGGACUAUGCCAGCGGCUGUUCCUUGAAAGGAGUAAAAUCUUCUGCUACAGAUGGCCUGACCUUGCUCCAAAAUCCCAGAAGACUAUAUUGUGAUCUCCUAUUGGGACUUGCUUUAAAUUCCACACUGCCUGCUGCAGAGCCCAUUGCUGUUUCCGACUACUUAGAACUGGCAACCUUUCAUAUACCCCAGGAUAUGAGCCAGAAUGGUAUUCCUAGGUGUGAAAUUUGUGCUUUUGGAAUCCAAAGAGGCCCACCAGACAUUGUGCUUCAUUAGUAGGAAAUGCAAGAUACAGAAGUUUGUCUUUUACUCUGGAGGGGAUGUCUUCACAUGUCACUGACUAUUGGGCCUCAAAAUUUUACUGAAUCUUCUUAGAGUUUAUCUCUCACCCUCUGGAUACAUGUAUCUUACCAAGGCCUCUAGCAUGCACGUCAUGUCUUACUCAUUCUACCCAUCAGUAUAUUAUUGGUAUAAUAUUUCAGUGUAAUGUUCUACGGAAUGUCCAGACAGUCCAGAUCUCUUCAGACUGUAUUAUAAUAGAGGGCAGACGAAUUAACAUAGUCCUUGGACAAAAGUGGAAAUAAAUAUGACCUCUUCUACAUGAAUGUUAAUUGCUUCUUAUCCUUAUUUCUGGUUGGAAUAUAAAAGAGCACAUUCAACAAAUAUGUGGCCACAUAUCAAGUACCUGAAUCCUUAUUAAUCUGCCCUAGCAAUCAAUUAUAGCAUGUCCAACACAGCUCGAAUUGGACUACUAGUUGGUUAAGCUAGCUGUGGUAGUCUAUGUUCACACUGUAGGAUGCACAGUGGCACUAAUCACCCCCAUCAACCCCGGGACACUGUCAUUUUUUAUUAUGUUAACCGGGGUGGCCAACAAUUUCAAAGGCUCCCAGUUAGCCUUCCUGACUAUGUUAGCUCUUAUCUAACAGCCUAAGGACCCAAUACUUCAGCUGCCAAUUACAUCUAUUGCAACUAUAUAUUUAGGUAUCAGGGAAAUGACCAGCAAGUAGGCCUGCAGACCUAUGUGAAUUCUCUGUAAGCCUGACUUUAAUUAGGACUAAAAAGUUGCUUCUGUAAGCCCCGGCUUAUAGAACCCAGGAACCCAUGGCAUGAUGAUGAUACUCUGAGUCUCCAGUUAUCAAACUCUGCUUAUAACCUGGGUCCAAACAGCUCCUUGAAAUGACUGGGCAUCUCCCUUUCCCCCCAUGGUAAGUGUCCUACUCAAGUAAAUGUCCUGGGUCCCUUUGAGGAAUGGGGAAAAAUCAUAAUAUAUACUUUCCACAGUGUUGCAGAGUCCUUCUCCUAGGGAUUCAGCCACUUAUUUAGUUGUGGACUCCAGAUCUGAAAAUUGGCUCAAAUUCAGGAAUUGAGCAACAUAUGACUUUUUAGUGAGAUAACUUCCCCUCUAUUCUUCCCUGCUUCUGAUCAUAGAUGUUAAGCUGCACCCUUAUUAGCUGCUUAUCUAUUUUACCCCUAAGGUAAGGUGAACAAUUUGUCCCAGUUUUUUGUAAGUUCCAAGAGAGGUACUCUUGCUCUCACACUUAGGCUUUAACUGUUCAUAAACAGGCCUUAAUUUCUCAUUCUCUUUCUGCAGGGCAUCAGUAUGACUUAAUAACUAGCUAACUCCACUGUCUUUCUAGGCAUUGCUCUCCCCAUGUCUUUCAGACACCUGAACCAUUAUACAGGCAAGGAUGCUCCCCACAUUGGGAGAAAACUGUAAUUUGUUUUGUUUGCCCUUUACCAAUUGUUUUUGCCAUUUUGAAAAAUUACAUCAGCAGCGGCAACACUGACUUGAUAUUUGAAUCACCAAUACAAUAUACCUGCAUCUGAAUUUGUGCCAUAUAUACAUAUAUAUGUAUAUAUGUAUAUAUAUAUGAAUAUGCUUUUUAACCUUUAUUUCAAAAUAUAAAUGUAAAUAAAAUUGCUAUCAUACUCCUU